rnacentral:rRNA from 1 species
GACGAACGCUGGCGGCGUGCUUAACACAUGCAAGUCGAACGAAGUGGCGCACGGGUGAGUAACGCGUCAUCAACCUGCCCUUCAGAGGGGGACAACAGUUGGAAACGACUGCUAAUACCGCAUACUGAAGGCGGGGAUUGCGUCUGAUUUGCUGGUUGGAGGGGUAACGGCCCACCAAGGCGAUGAUCAGUAGCCGGUCUGUGAGUAUUAACUGCCACAUUGGGACUGAGAAACGGCCCAGACUCCUACGGGAGGCAGCAGUGGGGAAUCUUCCGCAAUGGACGAAAGGCUGACGGAGGAACGCCGCGUGGGUGAUAACGGCCUUCGGGUUGUAAAGCUCUGUUAAUCGGGACGCGGUACCGGAAUAGAAAGCCACGGCUAACUACGUGCCAGCAGCCGCGGUAAUAC